CAGAAAGACAGCAAAAGCAGCCCUGGCCGGUCCUCGGAGGAUGCGGGAGCCAAGAGGGUCGCACCCGCACCCCUGCGCCUUCCUGGUUUUCUGGAAAGACUUGGUCCCUUACCUUCUGACUCCUGGUGACACUACUCCUAACAAGGCACCUGUAUUGCAGGUGCUACACUCCCACCAGCCUCGAGGACUUGGCCUGUCUGAGCCAGUCCCCUCCAACACUGCCCACUCAACAGUCCACUGAUUGGACUUCUGUGGACCCCCACCCACACUGCUCACCACCCCAACACUGUCUACCCUGGAAGACUGCUGCACGACCCUUCCCGGAUUCCUGGAUUCCCGAGGAGUGCGGAAGUCCUGAACCACAAUGUCUAACUUCUACCCCCAGGCUCAACCUGGGGCAUACCUUCUCUCCCCCACCACUACUCCAUCCCUAUGGGCCCUUCACCCCUCUGUUGACUCGCCUCCAAUCUACCCAGGCAUUCCCCUCCUGCCUACUGACCUUGAGGUCAGCAGUGCUUUUGGGCCUCUGUUCCUCUGGCUUCUCCAUAUCCUGGGACACUAAGGGCCAUCUCCCUUUCUAGAAAAUUCUCCAUUUGGCCGUGACUUCCAGGAUGGACACUCACCUCUUCCAAGCUUCUAAUACCCCUCUCCAUGGAUAUAUCCGCCUCUUUCACAGCUCCCAGAGUCAACCCCAGCCCUCCUCACCCCACUUCUUUCAGGCCCUAUCCAGGUGACUCUUCAUCUCUCACCUGCAGAAACCCAAGGUCUCCUGGCAGAAGUCCAUCUCCAAACGCUUCUCCCUCCCAUUCCCUUAGACUCCAUCUGGUCUCCUGUCACCCACCAUCCUGACCCCUACUCCACAUUCCCUCUCUGGCUCCUGGGUAGGCUCCUUAGUCAGAUGCCAUUUUUGUUUUGGGGGUCCUUCUCCAUAAUUACACUUGUAUCUUAAGUGGCAACCCCCACCCUUGGACCUGCCCAUCCUUGAGUUCUAACCCUAUAAGGUGUCUGUAGGCAGACAGCUGGUGCCACACACACACACACACACACACACACACACACACACUCCUCUUUCUACAUAUGCACAUAUCUGUGAAGUCCACCCGGCCAGCCUGCCACCUAGUCCUCCCUGUGCAGAGGACUAUGAGAGAGGCUCCUGGGAAUUGCCUUCUGCACCCCAUUCCCAGCAGUCCAUUGGAAACCCGUUCCCUGAGCCGCCUUUCUGCUUUGGUCCAGGCAUGGCCAGGAAACAAGGUAUUUGACUACCUGGAGUCAUAGUAACCUUGGAUGUUUAUUGAAUUUCAAUAAUUAAUUUGUUUGUUUCCAUGUGCAUGCGUGUGUAUGUGUGUGUGUGUUUGUACACCAGGACCUUUUGCCAUUGCGAAUGACACCAAGUGCUUGAGCCACAUUUUUAUUUUUGGUUUGCUUUUUGUUUUUGUGUUUUGAGUAGGGUUCGCUGUAGCCCAGGCUGACCUGGAAUUCAAUAUGUAGAU